ACCCAAAAUGUUUAUAGAGCCAUAUUGGACCAAAGAAAAAACAAAAAAACAAAACAAUUAUGUCUGGAGCCACAAAAAAUUAAAAGCCUUAUAAUGCAGCCAACACGUGCUGUGCAUAUCUAUAUUUGCUUUAUUAGCCUACUAUCAAAAUGACUAAAUUGUCUUUUUCUCGAUCAACCAACCUCCCGCGAUCGACCCGUUUACCGCACACCUACGCAUACGCACGCACUUACACGCAUGCCAAAAUGAGCAACAGCCAUAACGGCCGCUACGAUGAACGAGGCAUGCGACAAACUUUUGCAGCGUGUUAACUAUCGUAGCUAACGUGUACCGUUUAAACAUGCUUCUCUUGGCCCUCCGGAUUCCCAUUCUUUGCCAGUACACUGGGUGAAUUGUACAUAAAACACCUUUUUUUUAAUAACAGCAGCCACCUGCCUGGCAUCCCGUCCUGGUAAUAGAAACGUGAACCAUAUUAAAACAAAUAAUUCCCUCCCCCAUUUUUUUCCUUUUUCAAGAAUUUUUGAAAAAGCUCCAAAGGAGCCACUGGGGCGGCGCUGACAAGCUGCAUGCAGCUCCAGAGCCCCAGGUUGCCAACCCCCGGGUUAGGUCCUUGCGUUUCAUUUCACUCUGACGCAACCUUUACAAGUUUAAGCAAGAUAUGUAUAGGCUCUUGGCAAGGCAUGUGGUUGACACGUAGCACACAGCACCCGGUAUUAUAAUCAAGUUAUGAUUACACCCCGAUUCAAACGAUCAGGAUUGUUAUCCAGCUUCUGACGAACUUGCGGAAGAACUCAUUUGAAUCAGAGAACAGGGAGACAAACAUCCAGGAUACCGGCCCUCGAGUACUGUAAUUGCCCACUCCCGGUCUAAGAUGUUUUUUUUUUUGGGUGAGUGAUUGAGCAGGUGUUGUCAUCAUAAUUGCUUGUUGAGCAAGGCUUAAUGGAAUUCACACAUCUUUUGAAGUAUCGGAUGAAGUAAAUCUGUGGUCAAACGAGUCCACAAGUAGAAUCCUGAGCAUAUGGUGAGAUGUAUUUUGUUUAUUUUAAGUAUGCCACCAGUAACUCGAUUCAUCAUACGGGUUCUCGUUUGCCCCUGGUGAAACUGGGGGGAAAGAAA